rnacentral:antisense_RNA from 1 species
CCGAUGGACAGUUCCUUACCUGCCGGGUCGGCCUCCGCAGAGAGCGGUGGCCUUGAAAACCCAGUUUUGGGAGAAUCCCUGCCGUGCCUCCCGCCCCAGUACCCAGAGGUUUCGUAGCCGCCAUCACUGCGGUGGAGGAGGCCGCCUGUUGCGUCCCACACCACCAGAAAGCCUAACACUGGCCUGAAGCGUAAUCUUAAAGUGGUAGGAGAAAAUACCGAUUUAGCGCAGAGAGCAAAACACCUCCGUUCCGGGUUUAAUGGGCAGGUCUGGAGGUGAGGCAUGCCGUCAGCACUCAAUAAUUACUUGCAGGAUCGGAUUGUUUCCCCAGUGGGUGGGGACUGCAGGAUGUAGCAUUGAGUGAGCCUGACAGAUUGGAAGAUAAAACAAGUGUGAUAAUAAAAACAAUUACACACUAACCCAUUUCCUCCUCCGUGAAAUGAGGGAAUGGCCUAGACAUUUUCCAGACCUCUUCUGUCCUAAGAGAGGAGCUGGGUGACAGAGCAGGUGCAAGCCGGCCUUUCCCUGCCUCCCCGGGGAACUCAGCUCGCAAUGACACCUUUCAGCUGCAGGAGUGUGGCCGCUCAGUUCUCAUUUGAACUGUUGACAACAGUUGUCUUCUGAGAAUCAUGAAUUAGAGCCUGCCUUUAGGCUUCUGACUCCCUCAAAGGUACCAAACAACACAAACUUUUCCUCUCGUUACCUUGGCUCUCUAAGCUGUAUCUACUUCUAUACAAGGCGAACAAUUUUGUCUUUUUAAAUUAAAAACAACAACAAAAGCA